GUAUAAACUGGUGUAUUAUACAUCUAAUUUUAUUAUCAUGUAUUUUGAUGUGUUAAUAUUUGAAGAUGUCAAUCAUACUUGGAUAUUGUGUGUAUUUGACAGUAUGGAGAAACAGCACUGCAAUUAGCUGUCAGACUUAAUCAGAAAGAUGCUGCAGAUGCAAUCAAGGCAUUCACUGAGAGUUCCCCAACUGCAUCUUCAGCAUCAGUUGUACCUAACAGCAGUCGUACAAGCUCAACAGCAACAGCAUCAAAUGUUCAUCUCUCUACACCAGUGACAGAAACAAUGA